UUUCUCUCUCCAAACAUGUCCUCAGGUGAGGAUUUUUUUUAAAAAGUAGCAUGUUUAAUGGCUCUAAUCCAUGGGGUCUUAUUAAUCAAGAUGUGAGAAGACAAAGGAAUUACUAUUUAAUGGAUACUAUCAAAGACAAAAGGAAUUACUAUUUAAUGGAUACGUUGCUUGGGAUGAUUUCAGUGCAAUUGAUGGGGGUUGGUUGACCCUGUGGGGUCGGGAAUCUUCCAGUCUUAAGUAGCCAUCGUCUGCAAACUGGAGUCAUAUUGUGCAGACUCUGAAAUGGAGUAAGAGCUGGAUUUUCCUAAUGUGAAGAAAACAGUUACAUUCGAAUCUGCAUUUUUCUCAAUUUUCUUCUUUUCUCAUAAAUGUUCCUCACAUGUUGGCACCUUCUGCUGGUCUAUGUGGAAAUCUAGCCCAAGAUGGUACCUCAUUUAAUAAAAGUAAAUAAUAGUCAUUAUUUCAGUAUUCAUUUCUCAAGGUGUCCUCAUAGACAGUACUGUGACCGCAGGUGAUCCACCGCCUGGACUGAUGUAAGCCCCUGUCUGUGGUGGGAGAUGAUGUCCCCAACCCAGUGAAGCUCAGGCACAAGAGCAGAUGAGUGGAGAUCAUGACGCCAGAGACGUCACAGGUCCACAGUCCUUACCCAAAAAGCUUUGAAAAUGAAGUUGCUUUUCUUAUCUUUCUCAAUUUGGUCCCAUAAUUCAUUUGAUAGUAAAACCUAACGUGAACCGACCUGAGAUUGUUAUAAUUUGUAUUCAUACCACUUCAUGGAUUUUGUUAAUUUUGCCUAAAGAAUGACCAUGGGUUUGAUUAAAGGGAUUGCCCCAGAUUCUGUACAAAUGUUUCAUAACAUCCAGCAUAUGCCCUAUCUUACCUGCUCACAAUGUGAAGAAUUGUGAAUUCUGAAACACAUACGGCCUGAAGGGAUUUGAAAGGACUGUGGACAUGUAAGCAGCAUCACAGCAAAGGUCUGACUUCACCCAAAACAUGAAAAUAUCACGAAGCAAAUUCUAUUUUUUAAUCUUUUUGGCUCAAUUCUUGUACAACUUUUUUUACACAGCCUUUUUUUUUUUAAGGGAUCACAUUGACUCAGCGCUUUCUAUUGUAUCUAGCAGUGGAUAAGUCUUACCUGUGGCAGGACUUUAAUUAUAAUUCUGUUGAAAUGUUUGUUCUCUCUGACCAGUGGCAGUUCAUUAUGCGAGUUUCAGUUCUGAAGUGCCUGCCUCUGCUAGCUCCGUCCUCUCAUUUCCUCAACUCACAUGCUGGGUCUCAGAAGCAUCAAGGCUUUCAAUUCCUCUUAAGUAAUUCUGGAGCUUUACAACAAGGUUCUGAGAAGAUCCCCAAACCAAAAUGCUGUGGCAUUAGGUGGGUUGCUACUAGUUCUGUGGGAAUGUGUGUCUCAGGUCCAUCUAUACCCAGUGUUCAUCUCAUUGCCAUCAGAAGACAGCAGAGCAUCUUCCUUCCCUCUUGCCUGGACAUGAAAUUUGGAGCAGGCACCCAUUUUCCGUCAUGUUGGCUGAUUGGGAAUGAUAAAGAAAGGAACAUAAUUUGCUGUGCUUGUAUUUUGCUUAGGAAUAAAUGCUUUGAUUUUAGACCAGGAACAAGACAAAAUAAAGAUAGUGUCUGAACAAAUUCGUA